UCUUCGGUAGUAUAGUGGUCAGUAUCCCC
rnacentral:piRNA from 2 species